UAGGUUUUAGAGUUAAUCGCUUCUAGCAAUAGAAGAGGAAAGUCUGGACUUCGUAGAGCAGGGAGGCAGUUAACGGCUGCUGGAAGAAAUUCUAAGGAAAGUGCCACAGAAAAUAGACCGCCAUAUUGCAUGGUAAGGGUGAAAAGGUGGUGUAAGAGACCACCAGCGAUAUAAGAGAUUUUAUCGGCUUGGUAAACCCCUCCUGAAGCAAGAGUAAGUUGUUAGCAAUAAGAGGUUGCUCGCCUUUGCUAAAAUGGUAAUUCGCUUGAGCUAAUGAGUAAUUAUUAGCCUAGAUAAAUGAUUAACGAAUACAAAAUCCGGCUUAUACUAAGACCUAUUUU
rnacentral:RNase_P_RNA from 1 species